rnacentral:rRNA from 1 species
GACGAACGCUGGCGGCGUGCUUAACACAUGCAAGUCGAACGGAAAGGCCAGGCGUUUGUGGGGUGCUCGAGUGGCGAACGGGGGAGUAACACGUGAGUAACCUGCCCUUGACUUUGGGAGAAAUUCAGGAAACUGGGGCUAAUACCGGAGAGGAUCUCCUGCUGCGUGGGGGGGGAUGGAAAGAUUCGGCGGUUGGGGAUGGACUCGCGGCUUAUCAGCUUGUUUGUGGGGUAGUGGCGUACGACGGCUUUGAAAGGGAGCCCGCAUGAGAGGGUGGACGGCCUCAAUGGGACUGAGAGACGGACCAGAAUGCUACGUGAGGCAGCAGUCGGGAAUCUUGCACAAUGGCGCGGCGCCUGUUGUGGCAACGCUGGGUGCGGGAUGCCGUCUUUCUGGUUGUAAACCGCUGUGUAAUGUGACGAAGAGUGCGUGACGGUAAUGGGUAAAGAAGCACCGGCUAACUACGUG